UUGAGUCCGCAGGACCUACGUUCUAGCCAUUCACUUCAAAUUGACAUGUAUGUACCAUGUACAUCUCAUAGGCACACAUCUGAGAAGCUGACUGAUUUCACAAAGGCGAAAAUAUUCCGAUUCGCCCGGUAUUUCCACCACUAAAUCAGCAGUUGGUGCUUUUGAAAGAGUAUCUCCUCAAAACCGGACACAACCAAUAAAACCAAACGGUACUGCGCUCUAACGCUGCCUCACUACACAUAAUAAAGGACUCCUCCGCUGGACAAUCGACAAAGAGAUUAGUGUGUCAACGCCCUGUGCGUUUCAUAAACCUGUUUUGAGCCGACGACACUGGGAAUCACCUCACCAUCUAUAAACGGGUUCUCCCUUCGUAUUUUCUAGCCUCAUUCCCGAGUAAACGAAGACCACAGAGGUUAUCAACCAACUCGAGUGCUAAAUCAGGCAACUGAAAAUCACAAACGCUCGUGUCAAUACGGGACGGGAAUUCUCACGAAGCAUAAUCGAGGCAAAUGAAGAAACAAAAAAGUUGAACACUAUCCAGCUUCCGAUCGAGUGCGGGUUUUUCCGACCGACCUUGUGGCGCAAAAAAAACUAAACCAACCCAUUGUUCCUUACCGUAUAGACCAGACUGUGCGGUGAUAAGGAGCGCGUUGAUGGUGAUGGUACAAAGCGUCAUCAACUGGAAUCCGACUGUGGCAGAUUUCCCUAAGGUCAUCAUCAUCAUCAACGCUGUUUUGUUUUCCGCUAUAUAUGUCGAUUUUUUGUUUUGUUUCGCGUUCUUUACCAGAGCUGGUGGCUCUUCAUGUGUAAACAAGUUUUUUUUUGCGUCUGCCUCUCGCGAUUCACUUCUCGAUCUCUCUCGGUAGGGAAGAAAACUUCCCCGAAGACGACGAUCCGUUAAAAAUUAAUAUUUGCACUAAUGCCACUCGAUGGAAAGAAACCCAAAUGACGUCAGCCUCCAAUGAUGGACAUUUUCCGAAAGCCGACUUAGCCGAUACGCAUCAUUAAUUGAUACCGAUACGGUACCGCCGCGCGGAUGAUCGUACCGUUGUAUUCGCGACGAACUCAGCGUGUAGAAAGUAUGGAGAGAAAAAAAAACUCACAAAGUAUCAAAAUCAACAAAAACAGAACACACCGGCGGGGUGAUUGAUGGAUGACGACGGAUUAUGAACUACGCGCUCAGGGUUUCAACAACCAACUACUGCUGAACGGCUGAUCGAUCAAGAUUCAAUGGCAGCAUCGUUUCGCGAGAGCAACUCAAGAGAUUGAGAGCCAGUACACCACGGGAACCACUCACGAACUCUCGCGGAGUGCGAAUGUGUCAAUCGAAGAAGCUCGUACCAGAACUAUGAUGCACUUGACCUCAAGAAAUCCCAGUCGCUGUUUCGCGCGAUGCGCGCCAGGAGGUUUUUGAAAAGGGAGGAUCGCGUAUGCGUUGUACCACUGCCCGGCCACACGAUCGAUUCGAUCCAGUCGAGAUAAGCCGCAACUCGUGUGUAAAUGCCCGCAUAUUCGCCGCAUCCCAGCCCAAAGGACACGACCCCAACGAGAUAGAACCGUUCCUCCGUGCUGUUCGUGUAGUGCAGCGGACCACCGGAAUCUCCCUGGCAGGCGUCCCGACGCAUACCGGAACUUGCACGCGUCCCGAUGGCACAGUACUGCGAUUGGAUAACACCGUUAGCUAACUUUUCGUUGAACUGUCCAAGCCGCUGUUUGUUCUCCCUGUUGCACACACCUAGUGGCAUCGUCGUGAGGCUCACCUUCAGCAGCUUAUCCGAACGGGUUUCGCUACCUAAAUCUGAUAGUGAAAUACUUUGAUUCGUGAAAAAUCAUUGCUGCAAGUUAUGAAGCCUACCCAUUAUGCCCCACCCCGCUGUUUCCAGUGGAUGCGAAGGAGGCAGAUCGUUUUCACCGCUGUGUAGACAGGCCCUCUUUACGUUAUCCCCGUACAGGAACGGCGACUCGAUCUCGAUGAGUGCGAUAUCAUUGUAUUUGGUUUUGGGAGUGUACGCAGGAUGAAGGUAAAAUG